UAUAUAAUAAUAUAGAUGUAUUUCAUAAAAAUAAUAAAUAUGACGAGCGCUAUUGCGCCGCUUGUUUUUCUUCGCAAUCGAUUUAGGACAUCGUGCUGUUCGAGAUUUUUCGACCCUGUUUUUUCGGAGACCCCUGGCACUCAAACGGUUAAAUAAGCGUCUGAACUGUCUAAAGUCACCUAAUUACCUAAGGAAUGCGAAACGAGUCUGAGUCGAGCUCGAUGACUCUAGAAUUAGGAUAAUUUGAUUUCAAGAUCCUUGUCUUACGAUCAGAAUCGGGGCGGUUUGGAGCUACUCUCAUGAAUUCAGCGUCACGCGAGAAGAUUUCAGAUAGACCGAGAAUUCUCUGCCUCUAUAGAAUGCAUUCCGUUAUCCGAAAGACGGUUUGUAUGACCGAGUUUUAUAUUGCGCGUGUAUUUCAAAAGUGCCACAACUCUGUCCAACGUUUCAGUCCUGUUAGAAGAACAUCAAAAUCGUCAAAGGAGUAUUUCAAGGGUUAAGAAUGAACGUAAUUACAAGAAUAAUAUUUGAUGCUUCUUACCUACACUCUAUUCUUCUUGCCAAUAUUAUAUUUUAUAAGAUAAAUAAUUUUUUUGCAUGCCUACAAAUAUUUUUCAACUACAAAUAUUCUGAAAUACACAUUUAAGUACCGUC
rnacentral:misc_RNA from 1 species